GGGCAGGUAGACCCGUAGGGGGCGGGGGCUGGCUGUAAACCAGUUGUCUUCUUGGCCUCGUGAGUUCAACUCUCACCCUGCCCA
rnacentral:tRNA from 1 species